rnacentral:lncRNA from 1 species
CAGCUGCAUGUUUUACUAAUAGUUGCUAUGCGUGGUAUCUUGUCUGACCUGGAACAUAUGGUCAUUUUAGUAAUAGCAACGUCAAAGUAGAAAUUAGGUUGGGCAGGGAAUUCUUCUGUUUGUUUAUAGUUUCUAGCCAGUAAUAUAGUUCUUGUGUUGUUUUGGCCGUGUUUGGGUUCCUUUUGCUUUCUCUUCUGUUGGUUAUCCUUUUGCAUUUGCUUUGCCUCUAAUGCUUGCUUUGUCUGUUGCAGGAGACAGGAGACACUCGCAGUUUGGCUGUGUCCAUGCUGCUGCUUUUGCCUAAGAUGGAUUCAAUUAAUUGAGGUAUGCUCCAGAUAUAGAUAUGAAUUUGUUUUUUCUUUUGGGCAGAAAGCUAGCUAGAAGUAAACUAAGAUAUUUGUAUGUGCUUCCUUGCACCUGCAGUUGUUUUCUUAUUCAACUUUGCUAUACAUAAAUACAGGUUUGUUCUUUUGGGGUACAGAGCUAGCUAGAAAUAAGCAAGGGCUUCCUUCAUGUGGAUGUUUGGUUCUUAUUCCAGUUUUGCCUUACAUAUAUGAAUUGCAUAUGUGAAUUUUCUUUUGAGAAAAACAAGGGCAACGUCUAGGUGUCAAGUAAUGUUAUACAUAUGAGAUUAGAGUAUCUUCCUCAGCUUUGAGCGAUACCAUCUUAGGUACAUGUAAAAGUGUAUACUUUGCUGCACAUAUCGGAUGUUCUCACAUAUAUGGACUGCACCUUAUUUCUGUCUGUGAGAACCUCACUGCCGAGAAAAAAGUCUGUAGUUUUCCGUGCGAGCUAAGCAGCAUAUGAAAAGGAAAGAUCUAUAUAUGUAUGCAGUUCUGUUCAUUUUUAACAUCCCGCCAUACAGAUAAUUGUAGUUUGUAGAUUGUAUGCUAUACUGACUUGCCUUUGGUCUGACCUGAAAGAAAGGUUUCAUUGCUGUUUCAUGUAGUCGUUUAUGACCCCUUGAAUGCACACAAUUUUCUUUUCUCAUCUAAUAGCUAUGAAAGAAGAUGCAUGAGAACUAUGGCUUAUGUAAUCUUCAGAGAUUCAUCAAGUUGCAAUUCUGUUUUUAAAAUUACUUACAUUACAGAUUGUACUGAGGUUCUAUACAUACUUCCUAAGUAUUUUGAGAAUACUACAGUUUUUCAUGAUACUAUAAUUUUAUUUAGUUAGGUGUUUGGUUAUCACUAAAAUCUCAGAUAUUAAUAUCAGAGUAUUUACAAAACAAGAGUAGUAAAGGAUGCACACUAAUAGUCAGUUUAGUUUCUGUUUCUUCACAGAUUGUACUGAGGUUCUUUAUUUUUACUUACACUACAAAAGUGUUAAACUGCAUUUACUAUGUCCUUCAAAUUUCAUUAAUCCUGCUGCAAGUUGUUUCUAAACAUAUGUCAAAGAUUCCAGUUAUGUUUGUCCCAAUGUGGUUUAAAACUCCUUACUAUUUUAGUGAACUGCAUGCUCUUGGUUUUCCCCCAUUGACCUUUGUUGCUCUGAAUUUGGCGCCUGGGUAGUGUAGCAGUACUUGUUACAUGCAGGUAGUGUUAGAAAUCAGCACUAAUUCAGAUUUCCUUCCAUCAUUGCUGCUUAGCACUCACAUUUCUUCGCUGAAGGAUAGAAUCAUGGAGUGACAGAAGCUUUGGGAAAAAGGGCUGGAGCUCUAGGGCUUAUGGUGGUUCUACCUAGAAAUUGUUACAAACAAUCUUGUCCCUAAAAUUUAAACAUCUAACUAAAUCUAGGGACUUCUCACAAGCCUCUCACUGUUAAUAUAUAUUUAUUGACAUUGUUGUUAACCUGUAUCCUGGUUCGAGUAGUACACCGAAUAUUGUUAGUAUAUAUUAUUACUCAAUGGUUUUGAAUUAAAGCUAUACAUUUCUUCUUUUACACUCUAGACCAACUAAUACUAAACCUGAUAAAAGAGAAUGCUACAACAAACACCUAAAAAUUGUCAUAACUACAGAACCAUGUAAUAUGUACUUACUGAUAUAUUCUACCAAGGAAUAUAAUUCAAGCUACUUGUCAUUGUUUUAUUUUUUCAGAUGGAGGUGGAUUAUAAUACUUUGGUGAUAAUAACACCAGCCUUACAUCCAUAUCAUUUACGAAUAACUCCAUAAGGUAAUGUAAUAAGUUCCUUCUUGGAAGAUGUUCUUUUGAGAUCAAAUGUCUGGCAGGCAUUAUCUGUCUCUGCAUGUUGCAGAUUCCAAUGUAUAUCUUGAGAAAGAAGUUUGCUUGACGAACAAAGUAUUUUCCCAUAAGAUGUUUAUGAAUUACUUAUGGCAAUGAAUCAGAGUUUGGAACCACAUGCUUAUUCAUUGUUAGUAUUGGCCUGAAACUUAAUAUAUAACUACCACUCUGCUUCUGCACUUUUGAAAGCUUAGAAUUGUUAAUAUGAUUCAGUUUCUUAAAUUAAAGCUAAUUGUGGACAUCUUUAGUGUCUUUGCCUUAUUAGAAGUGUCAUUUGAUGAUAACGUGCUAGCAUUCAAGUUUUUCUGGUGGUAACACCCUCGUCAUCUUGAGAAGUUCUAUAUUAUUAUUUCCUUAAGAUAUUUGCAAGCCUGUCAAAAUUCCUGUCAUCUUGUAGUGACAAUCCUCAAGCUGAUUGUGCAGUAACUUUCGCUGGCUAGUACAGUAACUUUGUGCAUGUAACCUGCUUAUACCACUUUCUCUGUACAAGAUAGGUACAUCUAGUGGUUACUGUUAAUAUUUGUACAGACUUUUCACACUAUAUUUGGACGAGAAGUAAGAUAAGCUUGCUACUGUCAAGAUGAUAGAAAAUGGACAUGGUCUCUACUAAAGAAGAGAUUACUCUAGAGAUGUUACUGUUUUCUCUAGGUUUCAAAACAUAUGCGCUGUUGUAUGUGGCCAUGCGGCUGUUGUAUGUGAUUGUUGUAACACCUUCCUGUUAAUAUUUGUACAGACUUUGCACACUACAUUUUGAUGAGAAGUAAGAUUAGCUUGCUACUGUCAAGAUGAUAGAAAAUGGACAUGCUCUCUACUAAAGAAGAGAUUACUCUAGAGAUGUUACUGUUUUCUCUAGGUUCCAAAACAUAUGCGCUGUUGUAUGUGGCCAUGCGGCUGUUGUAUGUGAUUGUUGUAACACCUUCCUGUUAAUAUUUGUACAGACUUUGCACACUACAUUUUGAUGAGAAGUAAGAUUAGCUUGCUACUUGUUAAGAUGAUAAGAAAUGGACAUUUUCUCUACUAUAGUAGAAAUUACUCUAGAUAUGUUACUAUUGCUCUAUAUUGCAGAACAUAGAACAUAUGUGGCUGUUGUAUCAUUGUAUGUGAUUAUUGUAACAUCUUCCUUAAGUUCUGAAUGCAAUAAUAUUUUCUGAUCUAUUCCAGAUUUCCCAAAGUUCUGAAUUCAAUAACAUCUUCUGAUCUAUUGCAGAUUUCCCAAAGUUCUGAAUGCAAUAACAUCUUCUGAUCUAAUGCAGAUUUCCCAAAGGUACACAAGUUCACUAAGGUUUGGAG